GAGAGUACUUCCUUAGACGCAAAGGAAUGAGUAGCAUAAGCUUCUUAGCUUCUUUUCUUAAAUAUGAGGAUGAUACAUUGGAAAUUACAGAAAACACAAUGCAUACAAAAGCCACGUAAUACAAACUCAUUAAUUUGUUUAAAUAGCUGUAGCUUAACAACUUUAACGACUAGAACAACAUCUUGGUACUGCCGUUGUUGUGUAACUAAGAGAUUUAUCAGCGGCCAUUGCCGCCACCACCACUGCCAGAUCCACUUCCUACACCCACACCUUUUCCAGCUCCAGUACCAACACCAACUCCUAUGCCAAUCCCAACUCCAGCUCCAAAUCCUCCGCCAUGUCCGCCUCCUAAUCCUCCACCAUGUCCGCCACCUAAUCCUCCACCUCCACCAGCUCCACCACCAAGUCCUCCUCCUGCACCACCUCCUACACCUCCUCCAGCUCCAAAUCCACCGCCAUGACCUGACCCUCCACCAACACCUCCUCCUCCACCACCACCGAAGCCACCACCUCCUCCAACACCGCCUCCAGUGCCAGCACCACCACCAACACCACCACCAGCUCCAAACCCUCCUCCACUACCUGCUCCACCACCAACUCCUCUACCUCCACCACCCCCUAAUCCUCCUCCUCCUCCUCCACCUAGUCCACCUCCAGCUCCUCCUCCAAGACCUCCUCCAGCUCCUCCGCCAAGACCUCCACCAGCUCCUCCACCACCCCCUAACCCUCCUCCUCCACCUAGUCCACCACCGCCUCCAGCUCCGCCUCCAAACCCUCCACCUGCACCUCUACCACCACCAAAACCUGGACCACCGCGUCCUCCCCAUCCCCCACGUCCACCGCGUCCACCAUAUCCCCCACAACCUCUCCUACCAUAUCCACAACCAUUAUCAUUACCCC
rnacentral:lncRNA from 1 species